GCAGGACGGACUGGGAAGCGGUCACCUAUCAAGAUACGGAGGCUAUUAACACCUAGGAAGUUAAGGCGUACACACACACACACACACACACGUGAGAGCCCUCACUCACCUGAUAGGGUGUUAGGCCCGCAUACGUCUCUAGGGUGAGGGAGACCCUACAGGACUCUGUGAGAAAGGCCACUAGGCUGGGGUCGCGGGCCUCGACAGCGUAGUGGAGGGCAGUUCGUCCACUCUUGCCUUCCUGAAAGAUGCCAACACAACCCAGGUCAGUAUGACGAAAUAUUUAGUAGA